GAGACGUUGGAGGAGAGCUUCAUGCCAGAACAAAACCAAAGCAUUGGGAUGAAACGAGAAACUAUUAUCCGCAGCCUUAUCCUGUACCUUGGUGAGAAAGAGGAGGCGUUAUUUGAAGACUGCCUGGUGGACAGCCGCAGUGAUGCAUCUCAACACAUCGUGAGGAUCGUGGUUGUCCGUGGCAACGAUGGAGAACAUCCCGUUGACGUAUCGAUCCUCCUUGAA